GGAAUCUUCCACAAUGGGCGAAAGCCUGAUGGAGCAACGCCGCGUGGGUGAAGAAGGUCUUCGGAUCGUAAAACCCUGUUGUUAGAGAAGAAAGUGCGUGAGAGUAACUGUUCACGUUUCGACGGUAUCUAACCAGAAAGCCACGGCUAACUACGUGCCAGCAGCCGCGGUAAUACGUAGGUGGCAAGCGUUAUCCGGAUUUGUUGGGCGUAAAGAGAACGCAGGCGGUCUUUUAAGUCUGAUCUGAAAGCCUUCGGCUUAACCGGAGUAGUGCAUUGGAAACUGGGAGACUUGAGUGCAGAAGAGGAGAGUGGAACUCCAUGUGUAGCGGUGAAAUGCGUAGAUAUAUGGAAGAACACCAGUGGCGAAAGCGGCUCUCUGGUCUGUAACUGACGCUGAGGUUCGAAAGCGUGGGUAGCAAACAGGA
rnacentral:misc_RNA from 1 species